rnacentral:rRNA from 1 species
GCAAGUCGAACGAACUCUGGUAUUGAUUGGUGCUUGCAUCAUGAUUUACAUUUGAGUGAGUGGCGAACUGGUGAGUAACACGUGGGAAACCUGCCCAGAAGCGGGGGAUAACACCUGGAAACAGAUGCUAAUACCGCAUAACAACUUGGACCGCAUGGUCCGAGCUUGAAAGAUGGCUUCGGCUAUCACUUUUGGAUGGUCCCGCGGCGUAUUAGCUAGAUGGUGGGGUAACGGCUCACCAUGGCAAUGAUACGUAGCCGACCUGAGAGGGUAAUCGGCCACAUUGGGACUGAGACACGGCCCAAACUCCUACGGGAGGCAGCAGUAGGGAAUCUUCCACAAUGGACGAAAGUCUGAUGGAGCAACGCCGCGUGAGUGAAGAAGGGUUUCGGCUCGUAAAACUCUGUUGUUAAAGAAGAACAUAUCUGAGAGUAACUGUUCAGGUAUUGACGGUAUUUAACCAGAAAGCCACGGCUAACUACGUGCCAGCAGCCGCGGUAAUACGUAGGUGGCAAGCGUUGUCCGGAUUUAUUGGGCGUAAAGCGAGCGCAGGCGGUUUUUUAAGUCUGAUGUGAAAGCCUUCGGCUCAACCGAAGAAGUGCAUCGGAAACUGGGAAACUUGAGUGCAGAAGAGGACAGUGGAACUCCAUGUGUAGCGGUGAAAUGCGUAGAUAUAUGGAAGAACACCAGUGGCGAAGGCGGCUGUCUGGUCUGUAACUGACGCUGAGGCUCGAAAGUAUGGGUAGCAAACAGGAUUAGAUACCCUGGUAGUCCAUACCGUAAACGAUGAAUGCUAAGUGUUGGAGGGUUUCCGCCCUUCAGUGCUGCAGCUAACGCAUUAAGCAUUCCGCCUGGGGAGUACGGCCGCAAGGCUGAAACUCAAAGGAAUUGACGGGGGCCCGCACAAGCGGUGGAGCAUGUGGUUUAAUUCGAAGCUACGCGAAGAACCUUACCAGGUCUUGACAUACUAUGCAAAUCUAAGAGAUUAGACGUUCCCUUCGGGGACAUGGAUACAGGUGGUGCAUGGUUGUCGUCAGCUCGUGUCGUGAGAUGUUGGGUUAAGUCCCGCAACGAGCGCAACCCUUAUUAUCAGUUGCCAGCAUUAAGUUGGGCACUCUGGUGAGACUGCCGGUGACAAACCGGAGGAAGGUGGGGAUGACGUCAAAUCAUCAUGCCCCUUAUGACCUGGGCUACACACGUGCUACAAUGGAUGGUACAACGAGUUGCGAACUCGCGAGAGUAAGCUAAUCUCUUAAAGCCAUUCUCAGUUCGGAUUGUAGGCUGCAACUCGCCUACAUGAAGUCGGAAUCGCUAGUAAUCGCGGAUCAGCAGCCUUC